AAGCUUGCACUGCACAGUAAAUUCUUCUCAUGUCCUUUGUGGUGAGACAGAAUCCAGUCAUUGUGAAGGACAGCAGCUUCAUGCUCUUUCUGUCUAUUGCUCUCUCAUAACCGUUCAGCUUUAUCAAGGAAAGCUAAAACAUUAAAUUAAGAAGAACAUAUUUUUAAUUUAACUUAGCAGCCAGAGCACCCAUGCACCUGGAUCAGCAGCCUAAGCUGUACAACCCUUCCUGUGAAGAAAUUACAGUGAAGCAGUGCCCUCUUCACUUCACACUCAGGCAGAUAACUAGGUAUUCUGAGCACCCACUUGUCUGAAUCAGCAUCCUGAGCUGCUCCACUGUUACUGUGCAGAGACAGAGGUACAGCAGGGCUGUCUGCAGUCCAUGCCCAGGCAUAUUUCCAUGCACCUGAAAUACCUGCUGUCCUGGAUUUGAAGCCUGGACCACUCCACUCUGCCCAGACAGAGAACUUGAGGCCCUGGAAGUUUCCCAGCUCCAUGCCUGCACACACUUUUCGGCCCUCAGUGACCACCCACUGGAUUGUCCCUUAGCACCAGUGCUUGUGCCUGCCCUCAGCAGAACUGUAGGUGGGCUUUUCCAGGCUGGCCCCUCUCUUUUGGUCCCCCACCCAUGCUAGGCUGAGCAGGGAGCUCAGACCACUCCAUGGAUCAGCCUAUUGCCCGAGGAAACAGAGAUCUUCUCCCAAUAAACAAGCUUCUCCUAGCCAUGUUAGUUUCAGCUGGCUCUUACCCAUAAAAGUCAUCUACUGGCUUAUAGAUCCAACUGCACAGCCCAAUAUAAAAUGUGCUGAAAGUGCAUAGGAGUAUAGAAGCAAAACCAAAAGCCCUUACUCAACAUUCCCUAGAGUCCCAACCCCUAGGGGGAGAGGGAAAGGAAAGGAGAAAAAAAAAAUAAUAAUAUUACAAGGAAAGAAAGAAAAAGGAAAAAAUCCUACCAACACGAAAAUAAUUACAAAAAUUAAGAAUGCCAUUACCUCCAUAUGAAAUGGAACCAGUGCAAAAAUUCUGGCACCAUAAAAAAUUUGAAGGUAGUGGUACUACCAAAGGAUUACACUAGUUCUCCAGCAAUGGUCCUUAAUGAAAAUGAAAACUCAGAAAUGACAGAUAAAUAAUUCAAAGCAUGGAUUGCAAGGAAACUCAAUGAGAUCCAAGAUAAAGUUGAAAAUCAACACAAAUUUCUAAAUCGAUUCAGGAAAUGAAAAGAAGAGAUGAAUAUCUUUAAAAAUAUUAGUCAGAGCUUCUGGAAUUGAAAAGCUCACUUAAGGAAUUUCAAAAUACAAUUGAAAGCUUUAUCAAUAGACUAGCCCAUGAUGAAGAAAGAAUUUCAGAGCCUGAAGAUCUGUCUUUCAAACAAACCCAGUCAGCCAAAAAAAAAAAAAAGUUAAUAAAAAUGUACAAAGUCUUUAAGAAGUAUGGGAUUCUGUAAACAAAUCUUUGAAUUACUGGCAUUCUUGAAAGAAAAAGAGAAAAAGUAAUUAACAUGGAAACAUAUUUGAAUAAAUGAUUCAAGAAAAUUCCCCUUAUCUUGCUAGAGAGGUAGACAUCAGGUACAAUAAAUCCAGAGUACAUCUACAUGAUACUAUGCAAAACUAUCAUCACAAAGGCAUAUAUACUCACCAAAUUGUCCAAGGUUAACACCAAAUAAAAAAUUUUACAGGCAGCUAGAGAAAAUGGUCAGAUCAUGUACAAAGGAAAUCCUAUCUGGCUAAUGUGGACUUCUCAGCAGAAAACUUAAAAACAGUAGAGAUUAGGGACUUUUUUUUAGUAUUCAUAAAGAAAAGACAUUCCAACCAAGAAUUUCAUAUGACUCCAAACUAAGCUUCUUAAGCAAAGUGGAAAUAAAAACUCUUCCAGACAAUCAAGCAGUAAGGAAAUUCAUUACCAGUAGGUGAGUCUUCAAGAGAUUUUUAAGGGAGUUCUAAACAUGAAAAUGAAAGGAAAAUGAAGGAAAAAUACUAUCAAAAAAACCCACACAUAAAUACAUAGCUCACAGACUCUAUAAUGCAACCACAUAACAGAAACUACAAGACAACUAGCAAACAACUUCAUGAUAGGAUCAAAGCCUCAUAUGUCAAUAUUAAACUUAAAUGUACACAGCCAAAAUACUCCAGUUUUAAAAGCACAGACUUGCAAAUUGGAUUAAAAAAACAAGAGCCUUCCAUCGGCUGUCUUCAAGAGACCCACCUCACACUAAAUAACACUCAUAAGCUGAAAGUAAAAAGUUGGACAAAGAUCUAGCACACAAAUGAAGAAGAAAAAAGAGUAUGGGUAGCUAUUCUUAUAUCAGAUAAAACCAACUUUAAGCCGACAACAGUUAAAAAGGACAAAGAAAGGCAUUACAUACUGAUAAUUCAAUUCAACAAGAAAUCUUAACUAUCCUGAAUAUAUAUGUGCCCAACAUUGGAGCACCCAUAUUCAUGAAACAACUAUCUCUAGACAUACAAAAAGGCUACAGCCACACAUUAAUAGUAGCGGAUGCCAACAACACACUUGCAAUGUUAGAUCAUCAAGGUGGAAAACUAACAAAGAAAUUCUAGAUUUAAAUUUGACACUUGACCAAUUAGACCUAAUAGACAUCUACAGAACAUUCCACUCAUCAACCACAGAAUAUACAUACUUCUCAUUUGCACACAGAACAUACUUCAGGAUCGACCACAUGCUUAGCCAUAAAGCAAAUCUCAAUAAAUUCAGAAAAACUGAAGUUAUACCAACCAUACUCUCAGACCACAGUGGAAUAAAAGUAGAAAUUAAUACCUGGAAGAUGUCUCAAAACCACAAAAUUACAUGGAAAUUAAACAACUUGUUCCUGAAUGACAUUUGAGUAAACAACAAAAUUAAGGCAUAUGUUUUAAAAUAUUUAAAAUAAAUGAAAACAGAGAAACACUACACCAAAAUCUCUGGACUGCAUAUAGCAAAUGUAGUGCUAAGUGGAAAGUUUAUAUCACUAAACAGCUACCUCAACGAGUUAUAAAUAUCUCAAAUUAACUAUCUAACAUCACAUCCAGAGGAACUAGAAAAACAGGAACAAACCCCAAAGCUAGCAGAAUAAAAUAAAUAACUAAAAUGGGAGAAGAACUGAAUGAAACUGAGACCCAAAAGCCAUACCAAAAAAAAAGUUGUUUCAUUGAAAAGAUAAACAAGAUUAAUAGAUCACUAGCUAGAUAAAAAAAGAAAAAGAGAGAAAAGAUCUAAAUAAGCAAAAUCAGAAAUGACAAAGGUCACAUUAUAACCAAUUCCAUAGAAAUACAAAAGAUCCUCAGAAACUAUUAUGAACACCUUUAUGUACACAAACUAGAAAAUCCAGAGGAAGUAGACAAAUUCCUGAAAACACACAUCUUCCCAAGAUUGAAUCAGGAAAUUAAAACAAGGAACAGACCAAUAAUGAGUUCUGCUAUUGAUUCAGUAAUAGAAGAAAACCAACCAAACUACCAAUCCAAAAGAAAAAAAAAAAACAAAGAAGGAAUUGGACCACAUGAAUUCACAGCCAAAUUCUACCAGAUGUACAAAUAAGAGCUGGUACCAAUUCUGCUGAAAUUAUUCCAAAACAUUGAGAAGGAGACACUGCUCCUUAACUCAUUCUACAAUACCAGUAUCAUCCUGACACCGAAAUCUGAAAAAUCAAAAAGAAAAAAUAAUAAUUACAGACAAAUAUUCCUGAUGAAGACAGAUGCAAAACUCAAAAAAAAAAAUACUAGCAAAUACUAGCAAACAGAAUCUAGCAGCACAUCAAAAAGUUAAUUCACUACAGUCAAGUAGGUUUCGUUCCUGGGAUUCAAGUUGGUUCAUCAUAUGCAAAUUAAUAAAUGUGAUUCACCACUUAAGCAGAAUUGAAAACAAAAACUACAUGAUAAUCUCAACAAAUGCAAUAAAAGCAUUAUGUAAAAUCCAACACACCUAGAAGGAAUACACCUCAAAAUAAUAACAGCCAUCUAUGAGAAACCCAAAGCCAACAUAAUAGUGAAUGGGCAUAAGCUGGAAUCAUUUCCUUUGAGAAAUGGAACAAGACAGAGAGGCCAACUCUCACCCCUCUUACUCAACAUAGUAGUGGGAGUCUUAGCCAGAGUAAUCAGCCUGGGAAAAAAUAAAAGGCAUUCAAAUAGUAAAACAGAAAUUCAAAUUAUUUCUUAUUACUGAUAAUAUUAUUAUUUACCUAGGAAACCUUAAAAACUCCAUGAAAAGGCUUCCAUACCUGUAAAACAACAUCGGUUAAGUUUCAGUAUACAAAAUAAAUUUUAAAAAAUCAGUAGCAUUUCUGUACACUGAUAAUGUUUAAACUGAGAGUCAAAUUAAGAACACAAUUCUAUUUUUAAUAGUCACAAAAAGAAUUAAAUAACUAGAAAUAUAUCUAUCCAAGGAGGUGAAAAAUCUCUACAAGGAAAAGUAUAAAACACUUGUGGAAAGAAUAACAUGACACAAAUGAAUAGAAAAAUAUCCGUGCUAAUGCAUCAGAAGAAUCAAUAUCAUUAAAAUGUCCAUACUUCCCAAAGCAAUCUACAAAUUCAAUGUUACUGCUAUCAAAUUACCAAAGUCAUUCUUCACAGAAUUAGAAAAAACUACUCAAAAAUUCAUAUGAAAGCAAAAGAGCUCAAAUAGCCAAAACAAUUCUAAGCAAAAAUAACAAAGCCAGAGGCAUCAAAUUAAGUGACUUCAAACUAUACUAUAAAGCUACAGUAACCAAAACACCAUGGUAAUAGUAUGAAAGUACAUGUACUCCAAUGGAACAGAAUAGAGAACCCAGAAACAAAACCACAAACCUACAGCCAUCUGAUCUUCUAUAAAGUUGACAAAAAUAAGCAUUGAGGAAAGGACUCUCUAUUCAAUAAAUGUUGCUGUGAUUACUGGCUGGCUACAUGCCAAAGAAUGAAACUGGGUUCCUACAUUUUACCAUAUAUAAAGUUAACUCCAGAUGUCUAAACAUUCAAAUGUAAGACUUCAAACUGUAAGAAUCCUAGAAGAAGACCUAGGAAACACCAUUCUGGACAUCAGCCUUGGGAAACAAUUAAUGACAAAGUUUUCAACAGCAAUUGCAACAAAAUGAAAAAUUGACAAAUGAGACCUAAUUAAACAAAAGGGUUUCUACACAGCAAAAUAAAUUAUGAAUAGAGUAAAAAGACAACCUGCAGAAUGGGAGAAAAUUUUUGCAACCUAUGCAUCCAACAAAGAUCUAAUAUCCAAAAUCCAUAAGUAACUUAAACAAUUCUACAAGCCAAAAAAAUAAAAUAAAAUAAUAAAAAACCCAUUAAAAGUGGGUAAAAGGAGAUGAACAACCACUUUUCAAAAGAAGACAUAAAAGUGACCAAAAAUAUGAAAAAAUGCUCAACAUCACUAGUCAUCAGUAAAAUGUAAAUCAGAACCACAAGGAGAAACUAUCUCACAUGAGUCAGAAUGGCUAUCACUAAAAGCCAAAAAGUAACAGAUGCUGGUGAAGCUGCAGAGAGAAGGGAAUAUUUAUACACUGUUGAUGGGAAUGUUAAUUAUUUCAGGCCCUGUGGAAAGCAGUUUGAAGAUUUCUCUAAUAACUAAAAGCAGAACUGCCAUUUGACUCAGUAAUCCCAUUACUGGUUAUAUAUCCAUAAGAAAAUAAAUUAUUCUACUAAAAGAUACAUGCACUCAUAUGUUCAUUGCAGCACUAUUCACAAUACCAAAGACAUGGAAUCCACAUAGGUGCCCAUCAACAAUAAAUUGGAUCUUAAAACUGUGGUAUAUAUACACCACAGAAUACUAAGCAGCCAUAAAAAGAAAGAAAUGAUGUGCUUCGCAGCACAUGAAUGCAGCUGGAGUCCAUUCUCCUAAGCGAAUUAAUGCAGGACCAAAAAUCAAAUCCUGCAUGUUCUCACUUAACAGUGGAAACUAAAGAUUUUGUACUCAUGGACAUAAAGAAGGGAACAAUAGACACUGAGGAGUACUAGAUGGGAUAGGGAAGGAGGGAGGGGAGCAUGGGUUGAAAAACUAACUCUUGCAUACUAUACUCACUAUUUGGGUGACUGGUUUAUUCUUGUUCCCAAUCUCAUCAUCACACAAUAUACCCAAGUAACAAACCCGUACAUGUACACUUCGAAUCUAAGAUAAAAGUUGAAACUAUUAAAAAAGAAAAUAAAUUUGAAUUUAACCAUAUACGUUAAACAUAAGACAA
rnacentral:lncRNA from 10 species